rnacentral:rRNA from 2 species
GUCGAGCGAACUGAUUAGAAGCUUGCUUCUAUGACGUUAGCGGCGGACGGGUGAGUAACACGUGGGCAACCUGCCUGUAAGACUGGGAUAACUUCGGGAAACCGAAGCUAAUACCGGAUAGGAUCUUCUCCUUCAUGGGAGAUGAUUGAAAGAUGGUUUCGGCUAUCACUUACAGAUGGGCCCGCGGUGCAUUAGCUAGUUGGUGAGGUAACGGCUCACCAAGGCAACGAUGCAUAGCCGACCUGAGAGGGUGAUCGGCCACACUGGGACUGAGACACGGCCCAGACUCCUACGGGAGGCAGCAGUAGGGAAUCUUCCGCAAUGGACGAAAGUCUGACGGAGCAACGCCGCGUGAGUGAUGAAGGCUUUCGGGUCGUAAAACUCUGUUGUUAGGGAAGAACAAGUACGAGAGUAACUGCUCGUACCUUGACGGUACCUCACCAGAAAGCCAGGGCUAAAUACGUGCCCCGCAGCCCGCGGUAAUAUGUAGGUGGCCGCGUUAUCCGGAAUUAUUGGGCGUAAAGCGCGCGCAGGCGGUUUCUUAUGUUUGAUGUGAAAGCCCACGGCUCAACCGUGGAGGGUCAUUGGAAACUGGGGAACUUGAGUGCAGAAGAGAAAAGCGGAAUUCCACGCGUAGCGGUGAAAUGCGUAGAGAUGUGGAGGAACACCAGUGGCGAAGGCGGCUUUUUGGUCUGUAACUGACGCUGAGGCGCGAAAGCGUGGGGAGCAAACAGGAUUAGAUACCCUGGUAGUCCACGCCGUAAACGAUGAGUGCUAAGUGUUAGAGGGUUUCCGCCCUUUAGUGCUGCAGCUAACGCAUUAAGCACUCCGCCUGGGGAGUACGGUCGCAAGACUGAAACUCAAAGGAAUUGACGGGGGCCCGCACAAGCGGUGGAGCAUGUGGUUUAAUUUGAAGCAACGCGAAGAACCUUACCAGGUCUUGACAUCCUCUGACAACUCUAGAGAUAGAGCGUUCCCCUUCGGGGGACAGAGUGACAGGUGGUGCAUGGUUGUCGUCAGCUCGUGUCGUGAGAUGUUGGGUUAAGUCCCGCAACGAGCGCAACCCUUGAUUUUAGUUGCCAGCAUUUAGUUGGGCACUCUAAGGUGACUGCCGGUGACAAACCGGAGGAAGGUGGGGAUGACGUCAAAUCAUCAUGCCCCUUAUGACCUGGGCUACACACGUGCUACAAUGGAUGGUACAAAGGGCUGCAAGACCGCGAGGUCAAGCCAAUCCCAUAAAACCAUUCUCAGUUCGGAUUGUAGGCUGCAACUCGCCUACAUGAAGCUGGAAUCGCUAGUAAUCGCGGA